rnacentral:rRNA from 1 species
ACGGGAGGGCAGUGGGGGAUAUUGCACAAUGGGGGAAACCCUGAUGCAGCGACGCCGCGUGAGUGAAGAAGUAUUUCGGUAUGUAAAGCUCUUUAAGCUGGAAAGAUAAUGACGGUACCAGCAGAAUAAGCCCCGGCUAACUACGUGCCAGCAGCCGCGGUAAUACGUAGGGGGCAAGCGUUAUCCGGAUUUACUGGGUGUAAAGGGAGCGUAGACGGUAAAGCAAGUCUGAAGUGAAAUCAUAGGGCUCAACCCUGUAAUUGCUUUGGAAACUGUUUAACUAGAGUACCGGAGGGGCAGGCGGAAUUCCUGGUGUAGCGGUGAAAUGCGUAGAUAUCAGGAAGAACACCGGUGGCGAAGGCGGCCUGCUGGACGGUAACUGACGUUGAGGCUCGAAAGCGUGGGGAGCAAACAGGAUUAGAUACCCUGGUA